rnacentral:rRNA from 1 species
GACGAACGCUGGCGGCGUGCUUAACACAUGCAAGUCGAACGGAAAGGCCCUGCUUUUGUGGGGUGCCCGAGUGGCGAACGGGUGAGUAACACGUGAGUAACCUGCCCUUGACUUUGGGAUAACUUCAGGCAACUGGGGCUAAUACCGGAUAGGAGCUCCUGCUGCAUGGUGGGGGUUGGACAGCUUCGGCGGUUGGGGAUGGACUCGCGGCUUAUCAGCUUGUUGGUGGGGUAGUGGCUUACCAAGGCUUUGACGGGUAGCCGGCCUGAGAGGGUGACCGGCGACAAUGGGACUGAGAUACGGCCCAGACGGCAACGGGAGACAGCAGUGGGGAGUAUUGCACAGUGGGCGGAAGCCUGAUGCAGCAACGCUGCGAGCGGGAUGACGGCCUUCGGGUGGUAAACCGCUUUCACCUGUGACGAAGCGGGAGUGACGGUAAUGGGUAAAGAAGCACCGGCUAACUACGUG